UAAUCGAUCAUAUGACGUCAACUAUGGCAAUAAUAAUAUUUAUAAAAAGCAGUUUGCGUUGGAAAACAGUUUUGGAAAAUAUAAAUAAAUGUGAAAGACUAUUAAAAUCGCUUAAAAAUUCUAAGAAGUUUGUUACGCUUUCUAAGAGAAUCAGUUGUAUCUUUUUAAUACCCCAUAUUGUGGACCAAGCGUUAGUCAUAGCAACAUUUAUGAGCUUCAUUCAUAAUUGUUUUACGUUAACUCUACGUGAAGAAAUUCAAUUGUAUUUUAAAACAUAUUUUAAAAAACAUUUUGUAUACGUACCUUUCAAUCUUGCAACUUCAAUGAUUUUUCAGUUUUUGAGGUUGCAACUGAACUUCGUGGUAAGCGGCGUGGAUUUCUUCAUCACAUCGCAUGCUCUGUACUUGGCAAUGUUAUUUCGGAAUUUUAAUCGUAAUAUGCGUCGAGAUCA